UAUGUAGAUGGCGAGCGUUAUCCGGAAUGACUGGGCGUAAAGGGUGCGUAGGCGGUUUAAUAAGUCAGAUGUGAAAGUCCCGUGCUUAACAUGGGGAUUGCAUUUGAAACUAUCAGACUUGAGUGCGGGAGAGGAAAGUGGAAUUCCUAGUGUAGCGGUGAAAUGCGUAGAUAUUAGGAGGAACACCAGUGGCGAAGGCGACUUUCUGGACCGUAACUGACGCUGAGGCACGAAAGCGUGGGGAGCAAACAGG
rnacentral:rRNA from 1 species